UAGGAACUAGGCAAAUUAACCCCGUAACUUCGGGAGAAGGGGUGCCUCAGCAAUGAGGUCGCAGUGAAUUGCGAAGGGCGACUGUUUAACAAAAACACAGGUCUCUGCUAAGUCUAAAACGACGUAUAGGGGCUGACGCCUGCCCGGUGCUGGAAGGUUAAAAGGAGGGGUUAGCGCAAGCGAAGCUCUGAAUUGAAGCCCCAGUGAACGGCGGCCGUAACGAUAACGGUCCUAAGGUAGCAAAAUUCCUUGUCGGGUAAGUUCCGACCUGCACGAAUGGCGUAACGAUCCUUCGACUGUCGUAACAACUAGCCCGGCGAACUUGUGGUUCCGGUGAAGACGCCGGAUGCCCGCCACUAGACGGAAAGACCCCGUGCACCUUUACUAUACUUUAUCAGUGAAUUAUGGGUCCACCUGCGCAGGAUAGGUGGGAGGCUUUGAACCCAGUCUCUUGGGAUUGGGGGAGCCAACGGUGAGAUACCACCCUGAUGGUUCUGUGAUUCUAACCUAGGUCCGUAAUCCGGAUCAGGGACACUGAUAGACGGGUAGUUUGACUGGGGCGGUCGCCUCCUAAAAUGUAACGGAGGCGCGCGAAGCUUGGUUCAGGAGGUUUGGAAAUCCUCCUUCGAGUGCAUUGGCAUAAACCAGGUUGACUGCGAGACUUACAAGUCAAGCAGGUGCGAAAGCAGGCCAAAGUGAUCCGGUGGUUCUGUAUGGAAGGGCCAUCGCUCAACGGAUAAAAGGUACGCCGGGGAUAACAGGCUGAUCGGAGCCAAGAGUUCACAUCGACGCUCCGGUUUGGCACCUCGAUGUCGGUUCAUCGCAUCCUGGGGGUGUAGAAGCUCCCAAGGGUUAGGCUGUUCGCCUAUUAAAGCGGUACGUGAACUGGGUUCAGAACGUCGCGAGACAGUUCGGUCCCUAUCUGUGGUGGGCGGAGGAAAUUUGAGAGGGCUUGGCCGUAGUACGAGAGGACCCGGCUGAACAGACCUCUUGUGAUCCUGUUGUCGCGCCAGCGGCAUAGCAGGGUAGCGAAGUCUGGUUAGGAUAAGCGCUGAAUGCAUAUAAGCGCGAAACCUGCCUCGAGAUGAGAUUUCCCAAGCGAAAGCUAUGAAGGGCCCUGGAAGACUACCAGGUUGAUAGGUCAGAUGUGGAAGCGUAGUAAUACGUUGAGCUUACUGAUACUAAUAGCCCGUUCGGCUUGACCG
rnacentral:rRNA from 1 species